UACGGAGGGUGCAAGCGUUAUCCGGAUUCACUGGGUUUAAAGGGUGCGUAGGCGGAUUUGUAAGUCCGUGGUGAAAUCUCCAGGCUUAACCUGGAAACUGCCGUGAAUACUACGAAUCUUGAAUGUUGUGGAGGUUAGCGGAAUAUGUCAUGUAGCGGUGAAAUGCAUAGAUAUGACAUAGAACACCAAUUGCGAAGGCAGCUGGCUACACAAAUAUUGACGCUGAGGCACGAAAGCGUGGGGAUCAAACAGG
rnacentral:rRNA from 1 species